rnacentral:lncRNA from 1 species
GACCUCACUUCCUGUGGUGAUUACCUCACUUCCUGUGCUAGGCCCCACCUCCUGAAGGUCCCCCUACCUCCCAACAGCUCCAAUAUGGGGCCACAGCCUUCCACACCUGGGCCUUCGGGAGAUGCUCAGAACCCAGCCUACAGCACACCCUCCCCACGGUCAUUUCAGAGUUCGAGGUGCACUAUCUGGAGCUUGGGAAGGACAGGAAGAUGACAAUGAGCUGAGCUGUGGCCAACGCUCAGUCCAGGGAGCACCCUCUGCUCCUCUGUUUGAGCUGAUGAAGCCCCCCAACGUUGACUUGGCUGCUAAGACUGAUUUCCCCAGACCCAUGAAGAAAGGCCCCAGCCCUGAGUGGCUCCCUGCUUUGGAAAAUAACGUCAGUGACAACCCUGUGCAGGCACAGUCCAGGGAAGAGAGGCUCUGGGGUUGGCAUGCCCCUGCCCUCCCUGGGCCUUUCUGCAAGUGAGGAGUGGACCAUGGCGGUGGGUGGGCAGAAGGACGUCUGUAUACCCUUCCUGGAAGCCCCGCCUAGCCCUCAAGAGGUUCUUGAUCCAAGGAGGAGGACAGCCAUGUGGACUCACCUCCAGAAACUGGCAAACGUGCAGACAGGCCCUCCAGGUCCCUUGGGCUCCGUGAGGCCCAGGGAGCCCAACCUGUUUCUCCUGAGCCUAUCCACAAGGACAGGCUCAAUGGGGAACAAAACUGGACACUUUGUCCCAGGCCCGCAGGGGCAGAGGAGGGGCCAGUGCUGGCUGGGGUGGCCACACCCAGAGGCCGGAGGCCACCUGCCCUUCUCUGCAGGGCCAGGCCUUAUUUAGUGG